rnacentral:lncRNA from 1 species
UUAUCGCGAAGCUGUCCCUCUUCAUUACACAUUUACUGAUGGCCACCAAAGGUAAAUAGCUUCGCCAUGUGUAUAUACCUUAUUUGUAAAUUCAUGUCAAGAGCUGUUUGCUUCGAAUUUUUGCAGACCGACACGAGAAGAAAGAAUAUGUCAAGCCUAAUAUGUUCUUUAUGAGGCAACUGGGCGAGGCCAAGAAGAAUAAGCCCCUUAGCACCAACACUUCCUCCUACAAGCAUCAGCGGGAGAAACUUGUCUCAUUUGUUGAAGCUGAACCCAUUGCGACAAACCCAUCUAUUGAUGAAUCAGUGAAUAAGCCCAUUGCGACAAACCCAUCUCGACCGUUAAAAUAGUUGAGCCUGAGUCUGGCCUCAUUAAAAGAAAAGGGAUCGCCCUGGAAGCUUGCCCACAAGGCUUUUUCUUGAAUGCCCAAAUGGACAUAAGGAGAUUGCAGAGGCUAAAUAAAGACUUUUGCCAAAAGGUGGCUGAUGCAGAAGCAGAGGUCAAAAGGUUGAAAUUUGAGGCCUACACUACUAAUGAAGUUUCCGAAGCUUUUCUAGCCCAAGCAUGGUUAAGCAGAGUCGAGGUUCUUACUAUUGAGAACGAAGAUCUGAAGAAGGAGGUCUACCAUUGUAAGGCUGAGAUAAAUGCUAUGACGAAGUGAGUGGAGAAUUCUAACAACUUGUAGAAGAUAGUUUCGUCAACUUUGGAGGUGGCAACUAUGGAAAAAGGGUAAUAGAAGUCCUAAGUUGAUGAGUUGACUGCCAAGGUUGCCAGUUAGUUUCGUCAACUUUGGAGGUGGCAACUAUGGAAAAAGGGUAAUAGAAGUCCUAAGUUGAUGAGUUGACUGCCAAGGUUGCCAGUCUAAAACAGCAAUUAAAAGUGGCUGGGGAGACAGCAGUUACCAAUUACUUGGAGCAUUUCCAUGAGACAGAUGAGUAUGACUGCCUCUAUUGAUAAUGGAGGAAGGUCGCAUAUGAUGAAGUCAUGAGGAUGAUAGCUCAGUUGGAUCCCUAGGUGGACUUGGCUUCAAUAAGGAAUGAGUUUUACCUAGAAGAGCCAGCCACCUUGGCGGAGGAUGCCAUAGAGGCCUCCGUUGAAGAUGUCGAGGAAAACCAGCAGGAACCUCAACGGAUGAUGCCACUACUUAGGGGAUAGGCC